rnacentral:rRNA from 1 species
CCUACGGGUGGCAGCAGUGAGGAAUAUUGGUCAAUGGACGGAAGUCUGAACCAGCCAUGCCGCGUGCAGGAAGACGGCUCUAUGAGUUGUAAACUUCUUUUGUACAAGGGUAAACCUGAAUACGUGUAUUCAGAUGAAAGUACUGUACGAAUAAGGAUCGGCUAACUCCGUGCCAGCAGCCGCGGUAAUACGGAGGAUCCAAGCGUUAUCCGGAUUUAUUGGGUUUAAAGGGUGCGUAGGUGGAUUGAUAAGUUAGAUGUGAAAAGUUGGGGCUCAACUCGGGAAUUGCCUAUAAUACUGGUGGUCUAGAGAGUAGGUGAGGUAGGCGGAAUGCGUGGUGUAGCGGUGAAAUGCUUAGAGAUCAUGCAGAACACCGAUUGCGAAGGCAGCUUACCAAUCUAUAUCUGACGUUGAGGCACGAAAGCGUGGGGAGCAAACAGGAUUAGAUACCCCUGUAGUC